ensembl:ncRNA lncRNA:CR44360 long non-coding RNA:CR44360
GCAAUUGGCAGCUUCAAGGUCGUUGCCGUCUUUUGCAUAAUUAAGGGUCACCCACCGCCGCCCAGCGUGCCACCCCCUUCUGACUCAUUGGUGCACCCAUCGCAAGUGGCUUUUGUUCUUGCAACACAGUUUCAGUUUCUGAAUAAUGCAAUUGACGCGGUCGUGUAGGCGCUGACACAGUUGCCAUUUUUCACACAUGACCAGCCGGAAAACAGAAACCAGAAACCAGAGACCAGGCACAACUAACAACUGGCACCGUGCGACGUGCAACGUGCGACGAGCAGCAUGCAACAUUCGCCGCAUGUCCGGCAAGCGAGUGCAAUUUCCAUAGCACACUUCAAGGCUGGCCGCUGUCUAAUUUACAUGGCAAAUGACGCUGCUCUGGCUUUCUCCGCUUUCACUGCUUUCUCCGCUUUGCAUUUAUGACUCGUGACGUGCAAUGGCGAUUGUCCGCCAACCAUUUUCUUCGCCGUUUUGUGUUUCGACACACGUAUUCAAUUAGCCCGAUAAAGGAAGCAAAAUGCCGCAGCUGCUGCUGCCCACACAUUUGCAUAUGAAAGAAAGUCCGGGAAAAUUCGAGGGUGCUGAUGGUGCUUGUUGGCGGGAAAUGUGAGCCGUUUUAGCCAUGAAAU